GACAUAGGUGGCAAACGUUAUCCGGAAUUAUUGGGCGUAAAGAGUGCGUAGGUGGUUUAAUAAGUUACUGGUGGGAAAUCGGGACUCAACCCCGUGGAAGUCAGUAAUACUAUUAAACUAGAGGACCGGAGAGGUUAACGGAAUUCUAUGUGUAGCGGUAAAAUGCGUAAAUAUAUAGAGGAACAUCAAUUGGCGAAGGCAGUUACCUGUUCGGCUCCUGACGUUGAGGCACGAAAGCGUGGGGAGCAAGAAGG
rnacentral:rRNA from 1 species